GACGAACGCUGGCGGCGUGCCUAAUACAUGCAAGUCGAGCGAAUCAAAGGGAGCUUGCUCCCUGAAGUUAGCGGCGGACGGGUGAGUAACACGUGGGCAACCUGCCUAUAAGACUGGGAUAACUUCGGGAAACCGGAGCUAAUACCGGAUAAUUCAUAUCUACUCAUGUAGAUAUGCUGAAAGACGGUUUACGCUGUCACUUAUAGAUGGGCCCCCGGCGCAUUAGCUAGUUGGGGAGGUAACGGCUCACCAAGGCAACGACGCGUAGCCGACCUGGGAGGGUGAUCGGCCACACUGGGACUGAGACACGGCCCAGACUCCUACGGGAGGCAGCAGUAGGGAAUCUUCCGCAAUGGACGAAAGUCUGACGGAGCAACGCCGCGUGAGUGAUGAAGGUUUUCGGAUCGUAAAACUCUUUUGUUAGGGAAGAACAAGUACUAGAGUCACUGCUAGUACCUUGACGGUACCUAACCAGAAAGCCACGGCUAACUACGUGCCAGCCGCCGCGGUAA
rnacentral:rRNA from 1 species